rnacentral:rRNA from 1 species
AUUGAACGCUGGCGGAAUGCUUUACACAUGCAAGUCGAACGGCAGCACGGACUUCGGUCUGGUGGCGAGUGGCGAACGGGUGAGUAAUGUAUCGGAACGUGCCCAGUCGUGGGGGAUAACGUAGUGAAAAUUACGCUAAUACCGCAUACGAUCUAUGGAUGAAAGCGGGGGAUCGCAAGACCUCGCGCGAUUGGAGCGGCCGAUAUCAGAUUAGGUAGUUGGGGGGGUAAAGGCCCACCAAGCCAACGAUCUGUAGCUUGUCUGAGAGGAGGAACAGCCACACUGGAACUGAGACACGGUCCAGACUCCUACGGGAGGCAGCAGUGGUGAAUUUUGGACAAUGGGCGAUAGCCUGAUCCAGCCAUUCCGCGUGCAGGAUGAAGGCCCUCGGGUUGUAAACUGCUUUUGUGCAGAACGAAAAGGUUUCUACUAAUACUAGGAGCUCAUGACGGUACUGUAAGAAUAAGCACCGGCUAACUACGUGCCAGCCGCCGCGGUAA